UACAUGUGGGGCAAGCGUUGUUCGGAAUUACUGGGCAUAAAGGGUGCGUAGGCGGCUUGUUAAGUCAGGGGGUGAAAGUUUUUCGGCCCAACCGGAAAAUUGCCUUUGAUACUGGCGAGCUCGAGUGCGUGAGGGGUAACCGGAACGAGCAGUGUAGCGGUGAAAUGCGUAGAUAUUGCUCGGAAGGCCAACGGCGAAGGCAGGUUACUGGUACGCAACUGACGCUGAGGCACGAAAAGCGUGGGGAGCAAACAGG
rnacentral:rRNA from 1 species